rnacentral:misc_RNA from 1 species
GAUGAAGAACGUAGCGAAAUGCGAUAAGUAGUGUGAAUUGCAGAAUUCAGUGAAUCAUCGAAUCUUUGAACGCACAUUGCACCUCUCGGUAUUCCGGGAGGUAUGCCUGUUCGAGCGUCAUUUGUACCCUCAAGCUCUGCUUGGUGUUGGGUGUUUGUUCCGCCUCUGUGUGUGAACUCGCCUCAAAACAAUUGGCAGCCGGCGUACUUGUUUCGGAGCGCAGCACAUUUUGCGAUCCAGAUCAACGUACAGCGGCAUCCAAGAAGCCUUAUUUAACGCUCUUGACCUCGGAUCAGGUAGGGAUACCCGCUGAACUUAAGCAUAUCAAUAAGCGGAGG